rnacentral:rRNA from 1 species
AGAGUUUGAUCCUGGCUCAGGAUGAACGCUAGCGGCAGGCUUAAUACAUGCAAGUCGAACGGGAUUCGGGGUAGCAAUACUUUGAUGAGAGUGGCGCACGGGUGCGUAACGCGUAUGCAACCUACCUUUAACAGGGGAAUAGCCCCGAGAAAUCGGGAUUAAUACUCCGUAACAUUGCGGUGUGGCAUCACACUGCAAUUAAAGAUUUAUCGGUUAAAGAUGGGCAUGCGUGACAUUAGCUAGUUGGUGAGGUAACGGCUCACCAAGGCAACGAUGUCUAGGGGUCCUGAGAGGGUUAUCCCCCACACUGGUACUGAGACACGGACCAGACUCCUACGGGAGGCAGCAGUAAGGAAUAUUGGUCAAUGGGCGCAAGCCUGAACCAGCCAUGCCGCGUGCAGGAAGACGGCCCUAUGGGUUGUAAACUGCUUUUAUCAGGGAAUAAACCCCCGCUCGUGAGCGGGGCUGAAGGUACCUGAAGAAUAAGCAUCGGCUAACUCCGUGCCAGCAGCCGCGGUAAUACGGAGGAUGCAAGCGUUAUCCGGAUUCAUUGGGUUUAAAGGGUGCGCAGGCGGAUUGGUAAGUCAGGGGUGAAAUCCCACAGCUCAACUGUGGAACUGCCUUUGAUACUGUCAGUCUAGAGUAUAGUUGAAGUUGGCGGAAUGUGUCAUGUAGCGGUGAAAUGCUUAGAUAUGACACAGAACACCGAUCGCGAAGGCAGCUAGCUAAGCUAUAACUGACGCUCAUGCACGAAAGCGUGGGAUCAAACAGGAUUAGAUACCCUGGUAGUCCACGCUGUAAACGAUGAUUACUCGAUGUUGGCGAUACACAGUCAGCGUCUGAGCGAAAGCAAUAAGUAAUCCACCUGGGGAGUACGAUCGCAAGAUUGAAACUCAAAGGAAUUGACGGGGGCCCGCACAAGCGGAGGAGCAUGUGG